GACGAACGCUGGCGGCGUGCCUAAUACAUGCAAGUUGAGCGCUGAAGGUUGGUACUUGUACCAACUGGAUGAGCAGCGAACGGGUGAGUAACGCGUGGGGAAUCUGCCUUUGAGCGGGGGACAACAUUUGGAAACGAAUGCUAAUACCGCAUAAAAACUUUAAACACAAGUUUUAAGUUUGAAAGAUGCAAUUGCAUCACUCAAAGAUGAUCCCGCGUUGUAUUAGCUAGUUGGUGAGGUAAAGGCUCACCAAGGCGAUGAUACAUAGCCGACCUGAGAGGGUGAUCGGCCACAUUGGGACUGAGACACGGCCCAAACUCCUACGGGAGGCAGCAGUAGGGAAUCUUCGGCAAUGGACGAAAGUCUGACCGAGCAAACGCCCGCGUGAGUGAAGAAAGGCUUUCGG
rnacentral:rRNA from 1 species